CAGCAGACACAUUCCAGCCAAUCAGCAGUAGACCCUCCCUCCCAGACCCUCCCACCUCCUGGACAGCAUCCAUUUUACAUUCAUUGUGAAGCUGUAUUCUUCGUGAGCUGUCCAGGAGGUGGGAGGGUCUUCGAGGGAGGGUCUGCUGUUGAUUGGCUGGAAUGUGUCUGCU
rnacentral:miRNA from 1 species